UGCUGAAGGGAUAGCUCAGUCAGCAGAGCAUGAGACUCCUAAUCUCAGGAUCUUGUGUUUGAGCCCCACGCUGGGCAA